CAACCUUUGUGCCCAUUGUGGCCCUGCUGACCUUUUCUGUGUGUAUGACCAUCGGCUUCUUCCAGCUAUGUACUGGCCGAUGUGAAGAGAUCUACACCAGGACAGGCAUGGUGGCCGAGUGGACUGGAUUCCUUGGCCUGAUAAUACACCAACUAA